CCUUUGAAUACUUCUGAGUGAUCUGGAGGAGGAUGUGGACAUAGUGUAACAUCCACAUUUAUAGGUGACACCAGAUGUGAUCAGAAGCCAUGCCAUUGGUGAAGAGGUAUAUUGAGCCCCGUCUAGCCCAGUGAGGUUACUAGAAAAUUGGGAGAGGCUUAAACCAACAUCCUGCACAUGGUUAUCAAAUCGUUGUGAAGUCUGAAAAUCACCUAGGAUGCCUCUAAAAAUGCAGAUUCCUGGGCAGCCAGAAACCUUGUCCUUGGUCAACACUACCACCUACCUGUCACUUAUAUUGCGGCUUCCUGCCCAGUGGGUUCAUCAGCAAGCCAGAAUGAAUCUCCUCCAUUGCCAUAGAUGUCCUUGUGAGGUGGAAGCCUUGGAGACCUUUAGAAACAACUUGUCAAGUCCUCACCAUGAAUACCAUUAGAAUUGCAGUUGGAAUGGCACAGAUUAAUUUUUGAAGAGCUGUCAUCUUUAUAAUCUUCUAAUACAUGAAUGUGUGCUUCCUCCAUCCUGCAAGCUUCUGGGAACUCAGUGCCCAUUGUAUACAGGAUAUGUAUCCACUGAAGACCAUUAUGCCCUCCAAUAUAAGGCUAACUUGUGUUCUCACUACAAAAGUUUAGAAUCAGAGAGUUUCUUCUCUCUGCUGCAUUUUGAGCUGCCAGGCACUGUGCUAGAUGAUGGGGAUAUGGAGACGGACUUAGACAGAGUCCCUGCCUUCAGGAGUUCUUAGUCUAGUGAGAGAGUUCGACGUGUGCACAGAUAAUUACAACAGUAUGGUAUGCUCUGCAAUGGAGGUAUGUACAAGAUACUAUGGGGUUGAGAAGAGAAAUCAUUUGAUUUAGUUUGGAGAUGCCAGAGGUUGAAGGAAAUAAUUAGCUUAAGUGGGUUCUUAAAAGAAGUAAAGCUUGACCAGGAAGAAAACAGGGAAGGUCCUUUUAAGCAAAGUCGUGGACAUUGGAAAUAGAAUGAUGUACUGGGGGAACUACAAGUAGUUCUUGAAAUUAGGUUAGAAAUGUAGGCUGACAAUAGAUCCUUACAUAGUAUUCCAUGAAAUGCAGAUCCCAUUUUGUUUAAGUAGGAGAUGCUUUUGAUGGUCACUCUGGAAGUGCUAUAUAGUGUGUUCUGGAAGAUUUUCAGAUCUGGACAGGGAGAUUAGUUAGAAGGAUACCAUAGUAGGGUUAAGAUGAUACAUGAUCUAAGGCCAGAAGGAAUGGGAGUGGAGAAAAGGAGAUAACCUCUUAAUGAGAAGCUAUAAAAAUGUGGACAUAAUAGAACAUGAGAAAAUUAAUAGAGGGGGAAAUUAAGCCUCUCAGACUCUGGAGAAUGUGCAUUCACCUACCUCCAUCCCUGGCCUUGAUGAGAAAUCCUUUCAUGUUUUUUAGAUAGGCAUCACUAUUGAUUUCUUUUGGACCAGGGCUUAACUACCGUUUUUGCAAGUUUCUUUUUGGGAUGGCAGCUGUAUAUGAAAAGUUGAUUCUCAGACAUCUGAAUAGCUGCAGACUUCUAAUAGGAUCACUUAGUUCCUGGUCCUUCUCAUCAGUAGCAGCCCUCUCUAUCACAUGUUACCCAAAGUCAAAGUGGAGGCUUUUAUCUCUAAAACCCACUCAAGGGAAGAAAUGGCCCUCAUUGUUACUGUCUCAAUUGUUUUAUUUUGCUUACGGGAUUUCACAGUACUUAUGGUUACACCUCUAAGCAAAAUCUAUUCACUGAUCAAAAAUCUGUACAUGUUGUGUUUAUUUCCUCUUUUUUCAAAGCAGUAUGAACAUGUCCUUUGGAAAAUUCUCCACCUAGGUUCAGAAUAGUGGCCUUGGGGAUUCAGAGAAUGGAUUUCUGAUUAGAAUGAUUAAUAGGAGACUAUAUUUGAGUAGACCUUAUGUAUUUUCAGUCGACCUUGUGUAAGUAGCCAUCACAGAGGGCAGUCAGGGAAGAAGGGUUGGGAGAGGAAGCUCUGAGUAGGACAGCAAAGCAGGACAGUAAGAGUUUGGGCCUUGGGACUUAAAUAGCCUAGACUCAGAUUUGCUCUUACAUUCACCAGUGUGGCGUCAAGCAUGGUUUUUCACCGCUCUGGAACUGUCCUUUGUCUUAUUUAAAUAGGAGUAAUAAUCAUUUUUUGCAAUGAUUUGAGGGGGUGGGUAUAAGGAUUUAAUGGGAUU
rnacentral:lncRNA from 1 species